GAACUCAUGAACCGUUGAAGCGGCCGCCAACCACACUGGGGAAGCGUUAGUGCCUAGGAGGACUCUGAUCACUGUCGGGAAAACCAGAGCAGGCUGGCGGGGGCCUGAGCCCGUGCUUGCUGAGAAAGUCAGAAGUCACUACAAGAAUUCAAAGACUGCCGUUGUAAAUCCAAGAGCCAGCUUGGGUCCAAUCCACUUAAGAGCUCAAAAUUGGAAUUCUGUACCGAGAAAGAUGUAUAAGUUAGACCUUGGACCAGAUCCCAAGGAGCUAGCAGCCAUUGAAGCUAGAAGAAAUCGUGAAAGGGAACGACAACGCCGAUUCCUCAAUGAGCGGAACCGAGUCAUGGGGGUGGAUGUGGAAGCCCUCAACUACCAGGUGAAGGAACGAAAGCUUCGGGAAGCAAGAGAGCGAAGCAUAGAUAUGGCUUAUGAUACCAAGCUUGUGCACUAUGAUCUGGUAGCACAGAUGCUAGAGAAAGAAGAGGCAGAACGAGCACGCCGGCUGUCCAAGAGAGGACAGGAUUUUCAGGAGCAAAGGCAGCAAUUCAAGAAUGGACAUGAAUACGACUUCUGGGAUCCGGACCAAUUCCAGGAAUCUCAGGUCCCUCAUUUUGAGAAUGAUGCACACUAUGGCCCAGCCAGCAUGCAGCACUUCCUUGGAGAGGACCUGGAGAGGGCCUCACAACUGAGAAUGCAGCAGGAACAGUUGAGAUACAACCUGGAGAGACAGCUACAGGAGCAACGGGCAGCCAGAGAAGAGGAGGCUCGAGCAGCUCUGCUCAGUGACCAACUGCGCAUAGUCGCGGACAAGCGGGCUGUUGAACUGGCUAGGCUGGAGGAAUCCUGUCAAGCAGCUAUGAGAACUGCUAUGGCCAGUGCUAACAAAGCCCAGGCAGCCAAGCAAGCCCUGCAGCAGCGCCUUGAACAGCAGCAGCAACAGGAGGCCAACCUUGCAGAGAUCAAGAAACAAAUCACCAGUGACCUGCUGACCGAGAAUCCUCAAGCUGCCCAAAGAGCCGGGGCUCCUUACCGGGUCCUGCCCUAUUGUUGGAAGGGCAUGACUGCAGAGCAGAGAGCUGCCAUCAGGAAAACCCAAGAAACCCAACGACAAGAAAAAAAGAAACAGCGCCAAGCCGAAAAGUUAGUGGAAGCUGAGUGGGGAAGCCAAAGCAAACGGUUGGCUGAAGCUGCACUGGAGCUGGAAAAACAGGAGAGGGAACUGUGUGCAGAAUUUCGAAGAGGACUGGGCUCCUUCAACAAGGAGCUAGCUAAGGAACAGCGUGCUCAGCAAGAUUACCUGAAUUCAGUCAUCUACACCAAUCAACCUACUGCAAACUAUUACCUACAGUUCAACAAAAGCAGCCGCUGAGCUCAGGGUGGUCACCUCCCUUCUCACAGGUGGUCAGGAUUCAAAAAAAAAAAAAUGCUGUAUACCCUCAUUUCUAAUCUCUACCCAGUAGGAGGGAACUACAUCCAAACCUCCACUGUCUACUCUAGGUAAUAAAGUUGUUUGCUACAAUAAAAAAAAAAAAAACAAAAACAAAACUGAACUCAUGUCCUCUGCAAUAACAGCAAAUGAUCUUAAGAGCUUAGCAUUCCUGUAUUUGGUUUGUUUGUUUGAUUUUGUUGUUGUUGUUGUUGUUCUUUUGUAUUCGAGUCUAUGUUUUGAACUGGUCUUCACUGGAACACAUCAAAUGUGUUAACCUUUACUGCAGUGAGUUUGAAAGAUCCUUCUGUCUCUGCUGACAUUACAAAUCCCCUACUGUCAUUACACUUGUAAGGCAAAAAUUAUAGCAACUUAGCUAGCUCAAGUCAUGAAAACUAAUUUAAUUACUGUAUAAGCCUAAGAGCACUGAAUGUCAAAAGCCACCAGAUACAAUACAUUUAUUAACUUGCCAUUGACUAACUAGAGAAAAAUGGGGUAUAGUAUUCAAAGAGAAUUUCUGUCUAAGCUACAGGACUCUCUUUCUUAUUGGUGGCUCUAAAUUUAUGCUCAAAAUUGUUUGAUCACAGUUCUCUAGACAUUAAAUUGUGAAUAUGACAUAUUUCUUAUUUUAAAAGAUUAAUAUUGUGUGAAUGUAGGUCAUGUAUGGCCACAUUUGGCAUAAAUGUGGUCAAAUGACAAAGCAAUGUAGUCAGUUUUCCUUCCACCAUAUGACUUUAAUGGAUCACACUCAGGUCCCCAGGGUUAGUAGCAAGUGUUUUGACCACUAAUCGACCAUUUACUUCAUAUUUAUAUUAAUUCUUAUUAAAGAUUUUGUUUUAUUUUUAUUUCUCUCUCUGUCUCUCUGUGUACUUGUGUUUACAUGUGUGUUUACAUGUGUGUUUACAUGUGUGUUUACAUGUGAAUGUGUGUAUGUGGGUUCAGGGCCCAUGAAGUCAGACUUGUGAUAUCAUCUGGAUCCAGAGUUCCCUUCUGUUGUGGGUUGCAGGACAUUGGUGCUGACAAACAAACUGAGGUUCUCUACAAGAAUGGUAAUUGCUCUUAACUACUGACUUAGUUCUCUAGUCUACCCAACCUCACAUUUGUUAACAAACAAUUGAAACGAUUCCAGUUUCCAAGAUGUGUAUGUGUACAAGACAGUAAAACUUUGAAAAAAAGAGUUUGUAAUAUUGAACAUAAUUAAACAAAUGGCAUAUAAUAA